rnacentral:rRNA from 1 species
GUCUCUUCGGGGAUGAUUAAACCGGCGCACGGGUGAGUAACACGUGAGUGACCUGCCUUUUAGACUGGAACAACUUACCGAAAGGUGAGCUAAUGCCGGAUGAGUUAUAUAAGUGCAUGUUUAUAUAGGAAAAGUUGGGGAGACCUGACGCUGAAAGAUGGACUCGCGUCCCAUUAGCUAGUUGGUAGGGUAAUGGCCUACCAAGGCGACGAUGGGUAGCCGGCCUGAGAGGGUGGCCGGCCACACUGGGACUGAGACACGGCCCAGACUCCUACGGGAGGCAGCAGUGGGGAAUUUUGCGCAAUGCUCGUAAGAGUGACGCAGCGACGCCGCGUGAAUGACGAAGGCCUUCGGGUCGUAAAGUUCUUUCGACAGGGAAGAAAAUGCCUAUAAGUAACUGUGUAUGUAUUGACGGUACCUGUAUAAGCAGCCCCGGCUAACUCCGUGCCAGCAGCCGCGGUAAUACGGAGGGGGCGAGCGUUGUUCGGAGUGACUGGGCGUAAAGAGCACGUAGGCGGUGUUGUAAGUCAUUAGUCAAAGACUAGAGCUCAACUUUAGUAAGGCUAGUGAUACUAUAAUACUAGAGUAUCAGAGAGGAUUGCAGAAUUCCUGGUGUAGCGGUGAAAUGCGUAGAUAUCAGGAGGAAUACCGUUAGCGAAGGCGGCAAUCUGGCUGGAAACUGACGCUGAGGUGCGAAAGCGUGGGUAGCAAACAGGAUUAGAUACCCUGGUAGUCCACGCUGUAAA